UUCCUACAUUUUACUUUUUUCACAAUAUAUGUGUGAAAAGUUUGAAUUAUAUUUCGUCCUUUAAUUUGGAGGAUUCCAAAAAACGAUUUCUAAUAAAGAUUCUUCAUAUUUUGUAGGUAGCUUACUGGCGUAAGUUUGUGAACAUGAAAAUAAUACUUGUAUAUGGUGUGUUGUGCGGAUUUAUGGAAAGGUAUCCCAUAGAAAUCAACAGAUUUGUUAAAAAUGGAGAUGUUAA